GUGAGGAAUUUUCCGCAAUGGGCGAAAGUCUGACGGAGCAAUGCCGCGUGAAGGAUGAAGGCCUAUGGGUUGUAAACUUCUUUUCUUAGAGAAGAAUAUUGACGGUAUCUGAGGAAUAAGCAUCGGCUAACUCUGUGCCAGCAGCCGCGGUAAGACAGAGGAUGCAAGCGUUAUCCGGAAUGAUUGGGCGUAAAGCGUCUGUAGGUGGCUUCAAAAGUCUCCUGUCAAAGAUCAGGGCUUAACCCUGGGCCGGCAGGAGAAACUCUGAGGCUAGAGUUUGGUAGGGGCAGAGGGAAUUCCCGGUGGAGCGGUGAAAUGCGUAGAGAUCGGGAGGAACACCAAAGGCGAAAGCACUCUGCUGGGCCACAACUGACACUGAGAGACGAAAGCGAGGGGAGCAAAAGGGAUUAGAUACCCCUGUAGUCC
rnacentral:rRNA from 1 species